rnacentral:rRNA from 1 species
CAUGUAGGCGGUUGCUUAAGUCGGACGUGAAAGCUCCUGGCUCAACUAGGAGGGGCCGUUCGAAACUAGGUAACUCGAGGGUGGUAGAGGAGAGUGGAAUUCCCGGUGUAGUGGUGAAAUGCGUAGAUAUCGGGAGGAACACCAGUGGCGAAGGCGGCUCUCUGGGCCAUUCCUGACGCUGAGAUGCGAAAGCUAGGGGGAGAGAACG